rnacentral:rRNA from 1 species
UACGGAGGGGGCGAGCGUUAUUCGGAAUUAUUGGGCGUAAAGGGCGCGUAGGCGGCCCGGUAAGUCAAAGGUGAAAUCCCUCGGCUCAACUGAGGAACUGCCUUUGAAACUGUCGGGCUUGAGGCCGGGAGGGGGUAGCGGAAUUCCCAGUGUAGCGGUGAAAUGCGUAGAUACUGGGAGGAACACCAGUGGCGAAGGCGGCUACCUGGACCGGUUCUGACGCUGAGGCGCGAAAGCGUGGGUAGCAAACAGGAUUAGAUACCCGCGUAGUCC